GACGGAGGAGGCAAGCGUUAUCCGGAGUUAUUGGGCGUAAAGCGUACGUAGGCGGCUGGUCAAGUCUGGGGUUAAAGACCACAGCUUAACUGUGGGGGGGCCUUGGAAACUGACCGGCUGGAGUGGGGCAGGGGUUGCGGGAAUUCCCGGUGUAGCGGUGAAAUGCGUAGAUAUCGGGAAGAACACAUGAGGCGAAAGCGCGCAACUGGGCCCUAACUGACGCUGAGGUACGAAAGCUAGGGGAGCGAAUGGG
rnacentral:rRNA from 1 species